UCUGGGGUUUCCUGUGUCGUAAUAAAGAGUACCUGAUUUGUACCAUGCCUACAUUCAAUUGAUCUGUCUCUGCUGUUUCAAUUUUCCUGAUGACACUUCUCUCCGUAAACUACCAAAGCAUGUGGCUAAGUUAUAUUGAUCUGUCUUGAUUGGUGAUGAUUAGAGAAAAUGCAUGUGAAACAUGUAGAUAAUAGGCUGUCAUGUCAGAAUUUUUAAAAC
rnacentral:lncRNA from 1 species